CAAGUGGAUACACAAUGGUUAUAACAGGGUCAGCAUGGUAGAUGCUAAACUAUAGAGGUAUCCUGAGGUCCGCACAGCCUUGUACUGUACCCUACAUUCAUCUCUGGAGGGGGCACUGCUUUUGACACUCUGCUCUGAUGUUAGUCUAAGACUGUGUCCUGGAAUAGGCAGCAAAGAGAUUGUCAUUAAUAUUUGAGACUGUCAGACAUGCAGGUACAGGAAAACUGGAGCAGAGAUCCAAGCCAAGAAUUCUUUCCCAGAAAAGGGUUCCAGAGACCAUGACAUUUCAGAGUGAUGACUGUAGCAGCCCUAGCUGGCUUCUCACACUAUCUGUUGGAAUCCUGAGACACCCUGAGUUCUCAGUCAGGGAGUGGGGAGAUUGGAUGAGCAGGCAUAAGCCUAAAAGCCCAGCACUCAGGGGUGCUGAGGCAGGAGGAUGAUGAAUUUAAGGAGAGCCUGAGCUACAGAGUAGAAAACUUUAAAAAAAAAAAGACAAAGGAAAAGAAAAGGGAAGAAAGAAAAAGAAAAAUGAAAAAGGGGAGAAAGGAAGGAAAGAAGGAACAAAGGAAGAAAUGAGGACUAAAGGAAGGGAAGCUUAUGACAAGUGAGGAGACUGGGACCACUGGGAAGCCAGAAAGACACUGACCAGGACUCCCUUGGCGAUACUAGAAGAUGAUAUUUACCUUAUGGACAAGCCAGAGGAGACCAGGCAGCUCUAUGGGGUGGGUACCCUGAAGACGUGGAGGAAAGAUGGCGGCAAUUAUAGGAUGUCAGAGUCAAGCACCACAAGGUUAUGAAAAAGCUGGCUGUGGGGGCUCACACCUGGAAUCUCAACUACUUGGGAAGGUAAGACACGGGUAUCAAAAGUUUGC
rnacentral:lncRNA from 1 species